rnacentral:rRNA from 1 species
GACGAACGCUGGCGGCGUGCUUAACACAUGCAAGUCGAACGGAAAGGCCCUGCUUUUGUGGGGUGCUCGAGUGGCGAACGGGUGAGUAACACGUGAGUAACCUGCCCUUGACUUUGGGAUAACUUCAGGAAACUGGGGCUAAUACCGGAUAGGAGCUCCUGCUGCGUGGGGGGGGUUGGAAAGUUUCGGCGGUUGGGGAUGGACUCGCGGCUUAUCCGCUUGUUGGUGGGGUAGUGGCUUACCAAGGCUUUGAAGGGUAGCCGGCCUGAGAGGGUGACCGGCCACCUGGGGACUGAGAGACGGCGCAGACUGCUACGGGAGGCAGCAGUGGGGAAUAUUGCACAAUGGGCGGAAGCCUGAUGCAGCAACGCCGCGUGCGGGAUGACGGCCUUCGGGUUGUAAACCGAUUUCGCCUGUGACGAAGCGUGAGUGACGGUAAUGGGUAAAGAAGCACCGGCUAACUACGUG